GAGAGAGUAGCACAAUGGCAGUGCACUAGACUGUGGAUCUAGCUGUUGCGGGUUCGACUCCCGUCUCUCUCC
rnacentral:tRNA from 1 species